CUUUACUAGGAGUGGGAAAAUCUACGGAAUAUUAAAGUAAGAUAGUAUUCGUUAAGGCGCUUUAGGCUCUAAAGAUAAAGAGUGAAAGUUUUUGUCUUUUGGACUUCUGGCAUUAUAAUGAAGUCUUGGAAUUUUAUGUGAGGUUGGAAACCAUGCUA